CUUCAGCGAGCCCAGCCAGAGCGGCUUGGCGGGAUCCCGGUCCCGGCCAUAGGUCGCCAGCAGUGCCUGGGCCUC
rnacentral:antisense_RNA from 17 species